rnacentral:rRNA from 1 species
UACGGGGGGGGUAAGCGUUGUUCGGAAUUACUGGGCGUAAAGGGCGUCGUAGGCGGCCAACUAAGUCAGACGUGAAAUCCCUCAGCUUAACUGGGGAACUGCGUCUGAUACUGGAUGGCUUGGAUUCGGGAGAGGAAUGCGGAAUUCCAGGUGGUAGCGGUGAAAUGCGUAGAUAAUCUGGAGGAACACCGGUGGCGAAGGCGGCAUUCUGGACCGACAUUGACGCUGACGGAGCGAAAGCCAGGGGGAGCAAACGGG